rnacentral:misc_RNA from 2 species
CGAGAGAGUUGAGAGACUCGCCAACCCUUUGUGAACCUACCCGAAGCAGUUGCCUCGGCGGGCAGCCCCAGGGCGGGGCCGCGCCUCCCUCGCGGGAGGUGCCCGCCGGAGGCCCUUUUAAACUCUUGUUUUUACGGUACUCUGAGUCACUAUAAAAAUAAAUCA